UUACGGCGUCGACACAAAUUGGUACGUCGACAGCGGCGCCACAAACCACAUCACCGGUGAGCUGGAGAAGGUGACCAUGCGUGAGAAGUACCGUGGCAAAGAUCACAUCCACACUGCAAGUGGAGAAGGAUCAGGCAACGAAGAAGGUGCUUUAUCGAGGUAGAUGCGUUCGUGGGCUCUACCCUUUGAUUCCGGAGAUUAGAAGACUCAAUAAACAAGUUUUUAGUGCCACCAAAGUGUCUUCAACACGAUGGCACGAUCGUUUAGGGCAUGCAUCUUUUUCUUUAGUUGAGCGUUUGCUUAGGAAAAAUAAGCUCCCAUAUGUUGGAGAGCGGGAUGUCGAAACAGUUUGUGAUUCAUGUCAAAAGGCUAAAAGCCAUCAAUUACCUUAUCCAGUUUCUACCAGCAUUUCUACAAAACCUUUGCAACUUGUCUUCUCCGAUGUGUGGGGUCCUGCCCCCUCUUCUGUUGGUAGACACACGUAUUAUGUGAGUUUCAUAGACGACUAUAGCAAAUUUUCCUGGAUUUA